rnacentral:rRNA from 1 species
AAUGAACGCUGGCGGCGUGCCUAAUACAUGCAAGUCGAGCGAACGGACGAGAAGCUUGCUUCUCUGCUGUUAGCGGCGGACGGGUGAGUAACACGUGGAUCACCUACCUAUAAGACUGGGAUAACUUCGGGAAACCGGAGCUAAUACUGGCUAAUAUUUUGAACCGCAUGGUUCAAAAGUGCAAGACAGUUUUGCUGUCACUUAUAGAUGGUUCCGCGCUGCAUUAGCUAGUUGGUAAGGUAACGGCUUACCAAGGCAACGAUGCGUAGCUGACCUGAGAGGAUGAUCGGCCACACUGGAACUGAGACACGGUCCAGACUCCUACGGGAGGCAGCAGUAGGGAAUCUUCCGCAAUGGGCGAAAGCCUGACGGAGCAACGCCGCGUGAGUGAUGAAGGUCUUCGGAUCGUAAAACUCUGUUAUUAGGGAAGAACAUAUGUGUAAGUAACCGUGCACAUCUUGACGGUACCUAAACAGAAAGCCACGGCUAACUACGUG